AAGACGAAGCAGAAGAAGCGCCCUCUCAACAGGUUACGUCACCGAAUCAAAAUGGCCCAGACCACCACCACCACCAAAAGCCAAAACCAUCUAUCCUAUGUGUUCAAGUUUUAGACGAUGGGCUUCAAUUGGAAAAUUGGAGAGAGGAGGGGAGGUGGAUGAUGUUGUCAAUUUGACAACAUCACCAACCUAACCGACACGAAACGAAACAAGGUGAAAAAGGAAAAGAAGCACUUCCAAAAACUGUCGGCUUCUCCC
ensembl:ncRNA C18D1.19 ncRNA